rnacentral:rRNA from 1 species
CGCCGUAGGAGUCCUACCCUACGGCACCAUCUGGUUGAGGGUCGUGAUCAAAAACCGCUGGCCUGUUGCGGUAAUAGAAGUAGCUGGUGGAUCACGAGUUCGGCCUACCGCUUCAGGUCGAACGUGUUCUGCCAUAAUGCUAUAGAGGACGGCCCUUAGUGGCUGCCUACCACACGGAUGAUCUAUUAGUCGAUGCAAUAGAUCCCGGUCCAAGGGUAUCAUAUGCCAUAUAUGCUCGAGGAUGCAGGGAUACGGCUAGUAGCUUCGUACGUGCCUGGUUAUGAGAGUUUUCGCUCUCCCGACCUCAACUCAGGUGUGAUUACCCGCUGAACUUAAGCAUAUCAAUAAGCGGAGGAA